AGUUAGAAAGUAAUUUUAAUCUAGAUUUUAUAUACAAAAAAAUGAUCAAGGAAUAGUUUAUUUGAAUGUUACCCACCAACUCUAAGGUUUACAUAAGCCAGUAUGAAAUCAGAAGAUUUAAAAAAUUUUCUUAUACAAAAUGGACUUCCUCAGAAGAUUACAACUCAAUUUAAAGUGAUAUAGAAAGAAAUAAGUUAUGCUAGCCAAGAGCUAUGAGACUGAGAUGCUGCUACAGUGGAUGAGACCAAAAGUUCGUCUAGCUCAUCAACCCUUUCCUGAUAGAAGCCAGCAGCAGCUGCUUGGGUAAAGAGUAGAAGACACGAGGUUAAUUUGUUAUUCUCUAGUCAUCAGGAAGGAUGAGAACUACAUAGCAAAUAAGUUACAUAGGCUUACCAG